GGGGAAACAAAAGUGGAGGAAUCCGAAAGACAAGCUCAUGCCAGGAGUGAACCAUGUGGGAAAAGAUGCCAGCUGAAAGGGCUGGGCAGGGGACAGACCUUUGCAGAAGGAAUUACUGUCAGAGACCCUCAGGGAGUCACAUGACUGGAAGAAGCAGGGUCCUGAGGACUUUGAGAACGGAAGAGACUUUGUGUAGGGAAGACGAAUGACAAGCCACGUAACGGUUGUCCUUCUGAAGGUUCCGCUCCAUCUUGAUUUCCUCAGAAAGGAGAAGGAAG
rnacentral:lncRNA from 1 species